AUCAUUAGUGGUCAGUUAACGUUUUGUGCUAACUUUGACAGGAUCUCUGCCAGACACCGCAGCUCACCAGUCACCUCCACCACAAGUGUGGACCCCGCUACAGAGACCACCACCACUCAUAAGCUUGAUCUAACAGGCGUUGACGAUCCAAAGGCCUGACUCCACAGCGGUAAUGAGCCUCGUCUACCUUGCACUUAACGGACAAUGCUCACUACCAACACCUCUGCCUCCCCCACCGCCACUGCCGCCGUUGAGGGAGACUGGCUGGAUGAGUGGGUGAUAGAGGCGAGGCAGGUGUGGUGAGGCGGAGGAUUGGAGACGAGAACCUACAGAUGACGGCAGACACGGAAGAUUCCACUUACCAGGAGUUGGUGAUCCGAAGCCGUGACUGCAGCGAUCCCGUGCGGCCUGCACCAUCAGGGAAGGACUCUCUCUGGCUUCGCACUGCGCCUACAUUGACCGUUGCCGCCGCUGCUACCGCUACUCGGAGGGGCACUGCCUCGCAUUGGUCCUUCACUGCCGUCCCGCUAAUACACGUGUCGCCGUCGCAGCUACUGGCACUGAGGGACUUCGCCUCGCAGCGGCCUGGCAAACACCUGCUACACCACCACCACUAACUCCACCACCGCAGUCCAGAGAUUCAGCUUCGCAUAGCAGACAUCCUCCUAUUCAACGCUUGCUGCCACUACCACCUCAUUAUGGUGGUGUCACUGUACUUGGAUCUGUUGUCACUACUGAAUAAUAAUGUGUAAAGAAA
rnacentral:misc_RNA from 1 species